rnacentral:rRNA from 1 species
GAGGCAUGUGAGGGCUGUCGCUGACUUUUUAACGCAAAAGGUCGUGCACGCCCGGAGCGUGUCCUCUCGCAUAAAAUCCAUCUCACCCUUUUGUGCACCACCGCGUGGGCACCCUUUGGGAUCAAACCGAUCCAGGAGGGCGCUUGCGUUUUCACACAAACCCCCUUUCAAAAGUGUAGAAUGACCCCAUUUUUGCGAUAACACGCAAUCAAAUACAACUUUCAACAACGGAUCUCUUGGCUCUCGCAUCGAUGAAGAACGCAGCGAAAUGCGAUACGUAAUGUGAAUUGCAGAAUUCAGUGAAUCAUCGAAUCUUUGAACGCACCUUGCGCCCCUUGGUAUUCCGAGGGGCACACCCGUUUGAGUGUCGUGAAAAUCUCAACCUCCUCGGUUUCUUCUGGACGCCGAAGGAGGCUUGGACUUUGGAGGCCUUUGCUGGCGUCUCUCGCCAGCUCCUCUCAAAUGAAUUAGCGGGGUCCUCUUUGCCGAUCCUCGACGUGUGAUAAGAUGUUUCCAUGUCUUGGUUUCUGGCUCUGUCGCCUUUGGGACCCGCUUCUAACCGUCUCAAGUCGAGACAACGUUUGAGCGUGUCUCCCUUCUCGGGAAACACCCUCGAGCCCACGAACCCUUGACCUCAAAUCGGGUGAGACUACCCGCUGAACUUAAGCAUAUCAAU